AUCUACGGCCAGGCCACCCUGAACAUGCUGGCUCUUGUCUGAUUUUGGAAGCUAAAAAGGGUCGGGCCUGGUUAGUACUUGGAUGGGAGACCACCUAGGAAUACCGGGUGCUGUAUGUG
rnacentral:rRNA from 1 species